UUUGCCCGCAGGCCCCCAUGUGACAGAGGCUCUUACAAAAGAGUUUGUUUACAUGCAUCAAGUUACCAACAUUUUCCAAGAAAUUAGGGUGUUGACCAAUACAAUCUCAUUGAGAUGGGGUUAUGAGAGUGGUCCCUAAUUCAGUAUGACUGUAUUCUUAUAGAAAGAAGGGAAUUUGAAGGCAGACACACACAGGAAGGGGAACACAUUUAGAAGAUAGAGAUACAGAUUAGAUUUGUGCAAUGGCAAGCCAAGAAAUACCAACGGUUGAUGACGCUAUGGUGUGAAGAUUUGUCUCCUCCAAAACUCAUGUUGAAAUGUAAUCCCCAAGGUAGCAGUAUGGAGAGGUAGAGCCUUGAAGAGGUGAUUGGUCUGCCCUCAUGAAUGGAUUAAUCCAUUGAUGGAUCAAUGGGUUAAUGGAUUAUCAUAGGAGGGGAACGGGUGGCUUUAUAUUAGGAGGAAGAGAUACCUGGGCUAACAUGCUCCACUUCCUCAUCAUGUGAUGUCCUGUGCUACCAUGAGACUCUACAGAGUUCCCAGCAGCAAGAAGGCCCUGAGCAGAUAUGGCCCUCUGACCUUGGACUUCUCAGCCUCCGUGACUAGAUAAAACUUGAAUUAAAAGAAGAGGCAAGAACUGGUGCUUCAUUCAUCUCUCCCAUCAACUCUCUCUUUGUGGUCCUGAUUUGUCAGUGAGAAUGUACUGGAGUUUGCAAAGGAGAAAAAAAAACCACAGAGCUUUUCUCCCAAUUGUCUGCUUUCAGAAUGAAGAAGGAGAAGUCAACAUUUGGGAAGUGUUUACCAUGGACCAGGAGGUAAUAUAACACAUCAUUUAACUCUCCCAACUAGCCUGGAGCACAGAUUCCACUACCUCCCCAUAACAAUGAGAAAAGCAAGGCUCAGAGAGGCUUAGACACUCAUGCUGUAUGUAUUAGUCAAUUUUCACACUGAUAUAAAGAAAUACCCGAGAUUGGGUAUUUUAUAAAGAAAGGAGGUUUAAUUGACUCACAGUUUUACAUGGCCAGGGAGGCCUCAGAAAACUUAUAUCAUGGCAGAAGUGAUGGAGAAGCAAGGACCUUCUUCACAACUCAUCAAUGACAUGUUCUUCUUCCCUUAUGAAUGGCAUUUCCUUUGAACAAGUAAAUCCAUAACUUAGAGGCCAUACAAACUAUUGACCUGCUGCAAAGUGGAACCUCUGCAUUGUUGCCAUCUUCUCAUCAUAGGACUAGCAAAUAUUUCCUGACCUCUCAUUGUGGGCCACAUCAUGGGGGGCUUCUACCUGUCCUACUACAGUUACCUGCACAACUCUCCCUAUCAAUCUCACAGUUCUUAUCCUCCCAAUUUGGUAUUGUCAUUGGUGAUUUGCAGUUGGGGAAACUGAGCCUCAAAGAGAUGAGAUGCAUUUUCUAGGGACUCACAGGUUGUGGAUGCCAGCUCCAGGUUUUGGAUUUGUCUCUGUGCUAACGCCUAUGCUCAUGACCACUGCCUCUUUCAUAAUCUUAUUAUUUUAUUUUAUUUUGACACAGGGUGUCACCCUGUCACCCAGGCUGGAAUGCAGCGGAGUGAUCAUAGCUCCCUGCAGCCUCAAACUCCUGGGAUCAAGGAUCUUCCUGCCUCAGCCUCCUGAGUAGCUGGGACUAUAGGUGUGUGCAACCACUGGCUGAUAAUCUUUUUAGAAUUUAUUUUUCUUUUGGUCUCUGUAAUUUUAUUUUCCUUUGUUUAUUUAUAAGGUACACUGCUUUGAGGUUUAAAACAAUUCACUGGCACAGUGGCUCACGCCCGUAAUCCCAGCACCUUGGAAGGCCAAGGCAGGUGGAUCACGAGGUCAGGAGUUCAAGACCAUCCUGGCUAACACAGUGAAACCCCGUCUCUACUAAAAAUACAAAAAAAUUAGCCGGGCGUGGUGGUGGGCGCCUGUAGUCCCAGCUACUCGGGAGGCUGAGGCAGGAGAACAGCGUGAACCCGGAAGGCAAGGCUUGCAGUGAGCCGAGAUGGCGCCACUGCACUCCAGCCUGGGUGACAGAGCCAGACUCCGUCUCACAAAAAAUAAUAAUAAUAAUAAAAUAAACAAAGUGUCCACAUUUGGGUUACUGAAUAUCCUGUGUCUUGAUCUAGUUGGUGGUCACAUAAGUGUGCUUAUAUAUAAAAAUUCACCAACCUGUAUGCUGAAGGUUAAUGAGCUUUAUGAAGGUAUAUCCUACAUGAAUACAAUAAUUUAAAACUACAGAAAUGGAAAUUUAAAAAUAAGCAACCAAAGACAAAACAAAGCAAAAGAACAAAACAAUGAAAUCAGAAUCACAGGAUCAUAGAACACCUGCACAGAAACAGACCCACAGAAACUUGUUUUGUUUGUUCUGACACUUUUUUCACACUGCACUGUCAUGGCUUGUCUAUGAGUGCUCUGGUCAUCUCGCCAGACCAUGAGCUCACCACAGGCAGAACCUGGCACAUUUUGUCCUUUGACACAGGCUUGCAGGGUGAUUAAAAGAUUUUUCUCCUGUGAUACAUUUUAUUUGCACAAGUUAUCUGGUUUGAGUCAAAAAACCUAAUUGUAUUGACAAACAGGCCCUUGGCAAAGAUGUUUAUUGCAUACCUUAAAUUUGCAAGGUUAUCUCUUCUCAUCUUACUGAGCUCUCACCUUAAUCUUCCUGAUCAUCUCCUUCUUACCCCGUUAAGUGCCCACUCACCUAAAACACACUGGAUAAUGAUGUUUAUUACCCAACAAUGAAAAUAUUGUUAUUUAUGGUUAUAAUCAGGAUGUCAUCAAAUAUGAAUGCUCACAUUUGGUGAGGGCCUUUCAACUGAUUGUUUAUGUAAAUGAAAGUGUUCGCUCAUCAUCACAUCCAUUUUGGGAAGAAACAAUCAGCCAGGCGGGUUGUUUCUCUCUAUAAUAUCUUUUUAGUAUUCAGUUCACUGAAAACCAAUCUGCAACAAAAGAAAAAAAAACUACAAAUUUAAGGUUAGAUGUAAACCUAUAGCAAAUGUUAGCAUGCCCUGGAAUGACACAGGCAGAAGCUCAAUUGCAAUUCCUCUUCACUGGGAAACUUAGAAUGGGCCUCCAAUCUGGAUGCAGUUUCCAAUAGAGAACUAGCCUUUCCAUCCCAGUUUCUCCCACUUAGCAUGAAGUGGACAAGGCCAUUAUGCAGUGGAUGUAACCACCCCAGCCCUGGAAUUGGGCCAUCUAUAUGAUCUCAAGUUUGUCACAUUUACAAGCAAGUCUUAGUUAACUUAUCUGUUGUAUUAGUCUGUUCUCACACUGCUAAUAAAGACAUACCUGAGACUGGUUUAUGAAUAAAAGAGGUUUAAUGGACUCACAUUUCCACAUGGCUGGGGAGGCCUCACAAUCAUGGUGGAAAGCAAGGAGGAGCAAGUCAUAUCUUACAUGGAUGGCAGCAGCCAAAGAGAAAGAGAGUGUGUAGGGGAACUCUCCUUUAUGAAACCAUCAGAUCCUGUGAGACUAAUUCACCAUGACAAGAACAGUGUGGGAAGGACCCAUCCCAUGAUUCAAUUACCUCCCACUGGGUCCCUCCCAUGAAACAUGGGAAUUGUGGGAGCUACAAUUCAGGAUGAGAUUUGGGUGGGGACAUAGACAAACCAUAUCAUCUGUGAAUGGAUGCUUAGAUGGACUGUAAGUGAAAACUCUAAGCAUGUGUCCAUAACAACCAUCUCAGUGGAUAGACUCCAUUGUACUGUUAGGAAGGAGGGAAAAUGUUCUGUCUCCAACAUUUAUGGUAACUAAUGCUGAGGCUCUAAGUUACAAUAUAAAGUACAAGGAGCCCAUAGUACUAUUCUCUAAAGGGGAUACACACUUCUUUUCUAAAGAACCAGAUAGUAAAUAUUGACUCUGUGGGCCACUUAGUCUCUGCGUUCCAAAUGUGUCUGUGCAGCAAUAAAACUUUAUUUGCAAGACAUAUUUGAUCUGUGGACCAUAAUUUGUUGACCAGUGGUCUAAAGCAUCCUUACUUGAAGUAUUAUCCACAGAUCGUUAGUACUGCAAGAUAUUCUUUGCAAAAAAAAAAAAAAAAAAAAGUCUCUACACAAAUAAGUUGGGAAAUAAUUCAUAGCUUGUCCCUCUAGGGUAUUCACAUAGGGCACAUGAUCCUUCUAAAUCUGCUGCAAAGAAACGAUUGAAAACAGAAUUUUUCCAAACUUCUUUGACCUUCCUUUGCACCCAGCCUGUGUGCCUGCCCACAUGACUCUUGCUUUGGGGAAUGCAGCUCUGAGCAUGUUUUUGUCAUCCGACCCUGAGAUGCUGAAAAAAGAAAGACUCUUUAAGCCAUUUUGCUAACCUUCUGUGAUCCAUCUUAUGGGGGGUAGGAUUGAGGUCUGUGGAGGCUAACAGAUCCGGCAGGUAAGGCAGUAAACCCCUGAUUGGUGAGUUACUUUGUCCUAAUGUUCUGAAGAUCGCCAAGUAGCAGCCUCGCGACACAAUGGAAAGAUCACUUUGAGAAGAAUAAAGAGACCUGAGUCUUCGUCUUCAUGUUGCCCUCGGUUCGCUUUGUGGUUCUGGAAAGCUGCUUCAUCUUUCUGAGUUUCACCUGCAAAAUCGUUUUCCCCAUCUGAAAAAGAAAGACAUUUAUUUAGAAAAUUCCUGAAAGUUUUGCAGUGUUGUUGUUAUUGUUUCAAGCCUUCUUUUUUUUCUUGUCUUUAAGGGCAGAUUGAAUGAAUGUAGAGGUAAAAUCCCAGGAUGAGGAAACUCAGAAAUGAGGGUUAGCACUUCUUUUCUUUCUUUCUUCUUUUUUUUUUUGAGACAAAGUCUCAGUCUGUCAUCCAGGCUGUAGCACAGUGGCGUGAUCUAGGCUCACUGCAAACUCCACCUCCUGGAUUCAAGGGAUUCUCCCACCCCAGCCUCCCAAGUCGCUGGGAGGAUUACAAGCCCAUGCCACCACGCCCGGCUAAUUUUUGUAUUUUUAGUACAGAUGGGGUUUCACCAUAUGUUGGCCAGACCUCAAGUGAUCCACCCACCUCAGUCUCACAAAGUGCAGAGAUUGCAGGCAUGAGCCACUGCACCCGACCGGAUUAGCACUUCUUUAACCACGCACUUGACUUUCUGACUUUUAAUUUUGUGUUAACAAAGCUGACCAGAUUUUGGCUUCCCAAGUCAGAAUCACGAGGGUCAAAGCCCCCAGGGAAAGACAAACACAGCAGCAGCAGCAGCAGCACACACUCACAAAGACAGACGGUGGACUUGCCAUCAGGAGCACAAGUCCUGAGCUGAACUAGGGUUCCUUAUUCAUUCCUCAUGUGAACUUGCACAAAUUACCCACUUUUUUUCUUCUGACCUCAGUCCCCCAAUGUAUCACUAGAGAGUGGUACUUUAUAAACUGUUGUAAUAAGCAAAGAAUAGUUUUAUUAAUACCAUAACUGCUACCAUCACUAUGGCUACUCUACACCAAGUAUAAGAGGUGAAAGACAAUUGUGUGAUGAAUAUUAAAACACCUCAUAGAGCUGGAAGGGCCAUUGAGAAAUCAGCGAUCCACUUCCUAGCACUUCCUAUUGUUGUACAGCCUCCUCCCUUGCAAAAUGGGAAGGCUUUAAAGCCCCUUUAACUCAGAGACAUUUAGAGAGAGUGAUUUGUAAUGUCUCAGACACUGUUAAAUGUGUUUGACAUAUCAUUAUAUUUAUUCUACUAAGAUGAUGAUGGUACUAAUGGGACAAGCCUCACUUAGGAACAGGGAGACAACCUCGAUUUCUGUAGGAAAAAAAAAAUAUGUUACAAAUGGCAGGGCAAUCUCUCUCAUGGAGGGAUAGGAAGAAAUUGGCCUUGAAUCCAAAAGUUUGUAUGGAUGUUUAAAAGGAAAUACAUGACUUUGCUUUCUUGAAAAUUUAUCCAAUUGAAUUUCCUUUCAAAUGAGAACUGAAUGAAUCCUUCUUUUUAGCUUAGACCUGGGCUUCAUAAAUACCAUCUCUGCACAGUAUAUUACGCACAUCAUUUAUUCAGCAGAUAUCAUAAUAUAUUCAGGGCUGCUCUUAGGAAGAGAAAUUUCAAUAUUAGAUAAAAAUAGUGAGAUGGCGACGGUAACAGUGUUUGUCUGGUACACAGGGUAAAUAGGAUUGUUAGCGAUUGCUAAAGGCUUCAGGAAAAGAUAGGGAAACAAAGAUAGCUCGUGCCAGAUUCUGAGCCGAGCAGUUGCAGAGGUUCAAGGAAGCUUGAUUACCUUCUGCCACCACGUACUUCUAAGCAGGCCCAGAGAUGAGUUCCUCCUUUCUUAUAUUUUCUUGUAAGAAUCGCUGAAUGUUAUCCUAAUUAGAAAUCUGCUCAGAUUUGGAAACAGGCUGGCGUUGUCUUCUCUCCCUAACCCUCCAUCCUCCCACCUCUCUGUAUGUCUCUCUCUCUCUCUCUCUCUCUCUCUCUCUCUCUCUCUCUCACACACACACACACACACACACACACAUGAUAAUGUCCACUGUCCACAAAGAGUCAGAGUCUUCUCUGAGCCUGUCACCAAACUGGCUUUACACAGGCUCUGGGCCUCUCUGAACUUGAGUUCCUGGACCUGCAUGGGCAGCAAUUGGACUGAUGAAUCUCUCCAAGCCUCUCUGCCCAUGUCUUCUAAAUCCAAAGUGCUGGCCUGUAAUAAACACUAACAAUGCUUGGGCCUGGUUCUGUGUUUUAUAUGUAUCAACUCACUUAACCCUCACAACACCCAGGGAGAUAUGUAGCGUUAGUCUCUUCAUUUGGUGAGGAAUCUCUCCACUUGACAGGUGAGGAAACAGGUGGGGUACCAAGAAUUUAAGGAAUUCAUCCAAGGUCACAACCAGGAAGUGGCCGAGCCAGAAUUCCAACCUAAGCCACGUGGUUUCAAAAGCACAAAGCAGAAAGCCUAGCACAGAGCCCAGCCUCAAAGGCACAGAGCUGCAGUGAAUGCCCCUCUGGUAGACACUCCAGAGCAGUGGCUCCUGUAUGUCCACUCAUGUGUGCGUGAACAUUCAUGAAUGUACCCGACACUCUGCUUGGCACACGCAGAACUGAGACUUGCAGAAGUGUGCUAGUGUCAUCAGAACCAACCCAGGGUUGGUCCGGGGGAGACUGUCCCGGGGAAGAAAGAACUGCAAUUUAGAAGAAGAAGUCAGUGCAGCAGAGGAGGCCCUGCAGAUCCCAGGCAGCGGGGAGGCAGCCUAGGGCUAAAGGAGUCCAGGGGCUCCCGGUGAAAGAUACAUUCACAAUGUGAAGGAUGGGUCAGACAUGGAAAUGGGAAAGGCAAGCCAGGGGGAUACACAGGACAGAGAAGUGCAAAGUGAGAGGUGGGCAGGCUCUCACAACCAUGGGGCUGGGCUCAGGGCUAUUUUGUGUGAGGGAAGGGAGGCAAGAAGGCUGUAAUAGCAAACUUGAACUACUUUUUUGAUUGUUUUGUUUUCAACAAAGCUGAAUGCCAGUGAGGCAUCUGCAGGGGCUUUGGAAAGUCUGGUUGAGUUUUUGCACAAGGGUUCUUGGGCAACCUUGUCGAUACCUGGCAAGGUUGCAGCAGAGCCUGUAAUUCUCACACUUCCCAAAUCCUCCCAGAAGCCUAUACAACAGUAGACCAUGCAUUUCUUUAUUAUUUUCUACACAGGGACCACCUGGAUCCUUAUUGAAGAACAUAGACUUGAAGUUACUACAGUUAACCGACCUCCUAUUCAUUCUUCUCAUUUUUUUUUUCUGAGGCUACGGAUAAAAUGCUUACAUAGAUACACUAUGCAUUUCAUGGUUCUAUUUCUUUCCUUUUUGCUUUUACACGUGAGGCCCAGGGGGCCCACUGCACAGCAGGAGCCUGGGAAUGCGUGGGGACCAUUAGUGCUCUGUGGGACCAGAGCUUGCUCUAGCAGUCAUUGUUUUUGCCUCAUUAAGAACUUUCUCGUUUCUUCACCCACCAGUAAUAGUUGUUUGUUGUUGUUUUCUCAAGCAUUCUGACAGUUUCAAAACCAGGAAGCAUGACUCAAUCCUAGUGAGGGCUCAGUUUAAUUCUCUGAAUGAACAGAAUGAAAUUACAUAUGUAGGAAGAUUUUGUAAUCUUUCUUUAUCUACUCUGUUCACCCACCUUAAGAACCAAGCUCCAAAUGGAAGUACAGCAGGUGAUGUGUGUCUUUCUCUCACUUUCACCUCCUGGAGAGUCAACUCCUCUAGUGAGGGCUUCUAUGUACACGCUCCCACUUAGCCCCCAUUAUUUCUUCAGGGUCAGCUUCCUUAUUUCCUUUGACAGCUGAGAAAGUUGAAGUUUAGCGUCAUUACUAGUGCUGAGAAACACAGAAAGUGGUUUAAAAAAAAAAAACAAAAAUGUACCUGAUUCUAAAGUUUGUGUUCUUUCCACCACACUCAGUUUGCUUCCCCUAAAUGAAAAAAAAAGGUACACAUGUAGGAAGCUUCAAGUUCAGUCUCACUGUCUGUAAAAUGAGAUAGUGAAAAUUACUCAAAAACUAAUUGGAAGUAUUGAAUUGUUCCUGGCUUAUACAUUGUAGGGGAUAAGGUAGGUAAAUCCAGUGCUAGUUGAAUUUUGUGUUAGGCUAUUCUUGUACUGCUAUAAAGAGAUACCUAAGACUGGGUAAUUUAUAAAGAAAAGAGGUUUAAUUGGCUCAUGAUUCCCCAGGGUGUACAGGAAGCAUGGCUGGAGAAGCCUCAGGAAACUUACAAUCAUGGUGGAAGGUGAAGAAGCAGGCAUAUUUUACAUGGCUGAAGCAGGAGAAAGAGAGAGAAGGGGGAAGGUGCUACACAUUUUUAAACAAACAGAUCUCCUGAGAACUCACUCACUAUCACAACAACAGCAAGGGGGAAGUCCACCCCCGUGAUCCAAGCACCUCCCACCAGGCCCCUCCUCCAACACUGGCGAUUACAAUUCAACACGAGAUUUGGUGGGGGCACAAAUCCAAACAAUAUCAAAUUUCAAACUGGAUCUUUUAAAGGAAGAAUCAAAAGAAUGCUCUAAUGUGUUGCUGGGUGGAUAAGGGAUGUGGAAGUGGGAGAAUUCAAAUGGCUUGUUCAAUUUCAUAUGGCUCAUUACUUGGUCCUUUAAUUCUAAAUCCAGCAAGUGGGGUUUAGCCAAUGGAUUGCUUGGAAAGAACAAUUGGACUAGAUCCUCUGAUUUCUCUUCUUCCGUCUCAUCUCCUGAUUUAAUUUCUUCUUCUUUCCCUUUCCAUUUCUAUUAGUAUAGAAUGGAGAAAACAAACAAACAAACAUCAAGAAACAUAGGUUUGGAUUUUUCUCCUCUUUUUUGCUCUGUGAGUCUGCGAAAGUUCUCUUGAACUCUCUGAGACUGAUUUCUUCCUACAUAAAAGGAAGGAAUUGGUCUAAACUAUUUUAAGAUUUUAAAUCUUAAUGUCUCCCUUCCUCUCCCUUGCCACAUUCACCUCCUCUUCUUGUGAUCUAGUCUCCGGAAACUCGAAGAUUACAAGCAGAAAACUAGCCUGAUACACUUAGCAUAUGCAAAUGCUGUGCCAGAGAGACCACCAAAGCUUGGAUUCCUCCUUCUGACUCUCCAGAGAUAUAUAGGGGCAAGCCUUUCAACCAGGGCAGAAGGAUUGUAAGUAUCUCAGCAUCUCGAGUACAUAAAACCUAACUAGCAUUCUGCUCCAAGCCAGUUCGACCUCAUCAAAACACCCCUGGGGUGAGCUGUGAUUCCUGGGAGCCCGUCCUCCCUCAAGACAACAGAAAGUGCUUCCUCCUGUGCCUCUCAGGAGUGCCAUGUCCAUUGCUCCGCCUUACCAAGAACAAGCAAAGCCUGAGAACAGGAUUUGCAAAUAAGGGAGGGGGAAUGGAGGCCUAAGGAAAGUGGAAAGAGAGUUAAGAAAGGAAGAUGGAAGAUUCAGGGGCUGGAGGAUAGGAACUGAAGACUGAGCAGCAAACAGGAAGAAAGAGAAGGGAGGCAGGGAACCCAGCAGAGGGACAGGCAGACAAUAAGCCCGAGGCAGGAGGAAAAGGGAAAAGCCCAUGGUGCUAGUUUGAGGCACUGCACCUUGUUUGAAUUCCUAAAUUUAUCAUUUCUACUAAAUGUAACUGGAACUUACUAUACAUUUACCAGACAAGCCACUGUACUUUGCAGUAUCCUUGAGAGAUGGAGGUGGACGGAGGGACUGUUACUUUUUGCCAUCAUGAGGAGGACACGGACUCUCGGACAAGAUAAUCCUCCUGAAGCUACUUGAGAGUGAAGUGCAGACCUAGGGCCCUGGAUUCUAGAGCCCAGAACCACCAGCUGGCCUGGACUUCCAACCUCCAAAUUCAGGCCUGUUCUCACCCAGCUCAGGCACAUAGUCAAACUCAAAGGCGUGAAAAUCAAUUAGAACACGUGAGGGAAGAUGGUUCUCAGUCUGAACCAGACACACCAAUGAAUGGACUUGGAGGCCAGGCCAGGUCCCAAAUGCCUCCGCACCCCGCCGAUAUUUCUUUUGUAUAUUACAAGCCAGCAAAAUUAACGUCUGCUUGGAAAUCACACAGAGGAGGCUGGUGUGACUGCAACUCUAGCAAUGAAUGCACUUAGCAAUUCUGUAAUUUAUCAUUUGACCACUAAUAUAUGGCUAGCAGGAGGAAACAAGUGCUGGGGACUAGACACAGUUAAAUCAGAACAAGCGUCCAUCCUUCAGAAGCUUACCACGUGGUAAAAGACUUAACGUAUGUGUUCAAGUAUCUUUUUUUUUUUUUUUUUUUUUUUUCUGAGACAUGGUCUCACUCUCUCACCCAGACUGGACUGUAGUGGCUUGAUCUCCGCUCACCGCAACCUCAGCUUCCCAGGCUCAAGUGAAUCUCCUGCCUCAGCCUCCUGAGUAGCUGGGAUUACAGGCACACACCACCACUCCUGGCAAAUUUUUAUAUUUUUAGUAGAGAUGAGGUUUCACCAUGUUUGCCAGGCUGAUCUCGAACUCCUGACUUCAAAUGAUCCACCUGCCUUGGCCUCCCAAAAUGCUGGAAUUACAGGCAUGAGCCACUACUCCCAGCUAGUUCAAAUAUCUCUUUUAAAAGAUUUUUAAAAAGGAAUGAGAAAGGAAAGUCUGUGUGGUUUUUGUUAAUGAAGCAUAAGCUUCAGUGCUGGCCUGGCAUCUUUAACAGAUCAGCUUUGAAGUCGAAUCAACCUUGUAGAUCCUCAGUUUUCUCAUCUAUAAAAUGGAGCAAGCAAGAGUCAUGACACUCAGAUGCUGCGCAGACUCCAGGUGAUCCUGCGGUAUACUCGAUAUGCCUGGCAUAUCAUCAGGGGUCCCACACAUGCACAAGUUUCCCUUUCAUUCCAAACAGGGAAUGUUCUUUCCAGUUUUAAGUUAAUGCUAUUUCCUCAUCUGCAUUUUUUUUCUCUUCCAUUCUUAAUAAGUUGAGUAAGAGGGACAGUGAACUGGAAAGGGAAAACGUGAAAAUGCCGAGAAUUCUGAAAAUACAUCUUUCCAAAUUGUGCAGCUUGGUGUUGGCAAGAUGACAAGGGCCCCGGAAACCGGGUGCAAACACAGCACAGCAAAAUCACGCAGCUUGCGUGUGCAAUAUAUGUAUGUUACAUGCCAACUGCUGAACAAGUGCUUUUAAACAAAUGACAAAUAUGAUACGAUGCUCUGAGGAUCAGGCCAAGUGAACGCAAGGGUUUUCAAGAUUCAGAUGUGGACACGAGGUUCCUCUCGUUCCCGCCCACCAGCCCUUGCCAAGCCCGAGACCCCAACAUAACACUCCUUUUGCCUCAACCUUUCUAUCUGCGGCACCACACACAUGCACACACCAUCAAGCAAUCACAACUCCACCCCUCAUGUUAAGCCUGUAGGCUGUAGAAUAUCGGCCAGCACAUUAUUUUCCCAAUCAAUUUACAAACUUAACUAAUAAUUUAAUUCGCCGCAUGACAAAUCCACUAGCUCAUGCCGAAAGCAACUCAAAUGGAACGGCCAUAAAAUUCCCUUCUACGCCUUUGCUUGAUGCCAUCGUUAAAAAAGAGAAGGGAUGACAAAGUGAAAGGGAAAGUGCAGUGAUUCUUUUAUGUGAAGAUUACAUUUAAAAAUAACCGACUAACCGUCUGCACUUUUCGGGGGCCUGACGUCUCGAAACGCAUUUAGAUUGAUGCAGGCUGGGGCUGACGUUCUCGUGCUGAGUAAACAGUCAAGUGUUCUUAAUAGGAAUUGCAGUUUCUCGACAUCUGUUAGGGAAAAGGGAAUGGCGAAACAACAAUUUAGAGUGAGAUUGGUUUUGUUAAAUGCAUUUAAAUUCCAAGAUUAGUGGUGUUCUUUCUUUUUCAAUUAGCAUUUACUUGUAGAAAGGUUACAGAUGAAAGGGCUGGGGAAGAGAUCGGGUGGAUUUUUUUCCUUACUGAGAGGACACUCCAAAGCAUAGUAAAGCUAAAAUAGGAAGAGAACGUAAGACUUAAAGGAACUUAAAACUGAUGCCAAAUUGAGAUUGCAAAUCUUGAAGGGAAAGCAUUUAAAAUAAAAUAAAAUAAAAAUAAAGUGAAGUUGAGUCUGGAUUUGAUGAUCCUGUCCUCUGGACAGAAAAAUCAUAAAUUGCUUUGAGAAAAUACAGGGAUUUCUAUUUUCCAAGCCAGUUACUAAGCAAAAUUUGUGUUAUUUCUCAAAUAUAUGCCAUGGUUCUGUGUGAGUGUGUAAAGAGCUGUAACUAGCUCACUUUUUUUUUUUUUGAUAGAAACAUAAACAGAGACGAAAAAUGUAGGGAAUGUUUCACCUGUUUUACUGCCAUUAAAUAAACCUCAUCUGCUACCAAGCUGUUUUGGGUGACAUUUGCUAAAUAAAUACAUUUUGUGGGAGACUUGAACACUGAAGCACAGAGACAUGCAACCGAUGUUCUCAGAUGAAUCCUGUUUGCUUCUCAGUGCCUAUACCCCUACCCCAGGGGGAGAGUGAAGUGGUAAAUUCAGGUUUAUGUUUUCACAUUGGUAGUUUAUUUUCAAACGUACACAGCUACAACAAAAAGUACAUGCUUUUAUUACCAGCGUUUCUUGUAAUUCUCUCUCUCUUUCUGCCCCCUAACCCAAUUUUCCCCUCUCCCUCACUACCUUCCUCCCUCCCUCCACAAAUACCUUUAUUGCUUUUUUUUUAACUGGGGAGUAUUCACUAUUUCUUUACACUUCUAUAUGGAUUUCACUUUUAAAAAAUCUAUCAGCAUGCAUAUUUCGUGCAUGUCUGAAACCUUUAAAAUAUUGUUUGAUCUUCAUGAUUAUUUAAAAAUAUGUAUAUUGAGUAUUUGCUUAAGGUAAAGCCAUUGCUGCCAUUUCCAAUUAAAAAACUAAUAAAUGUAUUUUAAAAGAAUGUCUGCCAAGACUGUUCUCUGACAAAGUAUCUCUGUGGAUAUUUAAAUGGCACCAAGAUGGAUUACUGUUUCUGAUUAUUUCUCAUGUAGGGUCUCAGUGAUUUUGCAGAAAUCGUAAUUGAAGAAAAUGAUGGAAAGGAAGCUUUGAAUAUGGAGUGUUGUUAUUGCACUGACUGGACAACCAGAUGGAGCUAUUCCCAGUCCCCAGCACACAGAUAGAGAAUCUAUUCGACAAUAACUAAAGAGGUGUACAGUUCUAGAACAUUCUGCAACCAGACUUCAGGCACCAGGAGGCCUCCGUAGGCAGGGUUCCUCGGGCUUCUCAGCUGGCUUCCUUGGAGAAAUUUCAUAUGCUGAUUCCUUUCAAUUAUCUGUCAAUUUUCAAAAUGCAAAUAGAAACAUGCAGUCAUCACUUUGGUACUCACCAGCUGAUUUCUUCCAAGCACCCAGACCAUAAGUGAAUGCAGUUCAAUAUGUUCUCUUCCUUUUUUUAAGUGGAGUUAAUAUUACUGAGCAGAUUUUGGUUAGCUUCCAGGAACCCAGUGUGUGGAGAGGCAGAAUUUUAUUUUAGAAGCACAAGUUGGUUUGAAAAAUGUGAACUUACCCCAACUCUUUCUUUGUUUCAUCUUUCUUACUAGACAUGUUUUAUUUUCCUAAAGAAAACAUAAAUAAAAACAAAAAAAAAUUCUUCAUUGAUACACACACACACACACACACACACACACAUACACAAUUUAGGUCAAAUUAUUUUUACUACUUAGGAUGUCUUUAGUUAUUUUACAUAUUUAUAACACAGAAAAAAAGUAAGAAGAAAAGGAAAAAUGGUGUAUAAUCUUAAGACCAGGAGAUAACCAAUAAUAAAUAUUUUGCUAUAAUUUCUUUUCAUAUUCUAUGCAUAUACAUUUUAUGGAAUUGAGUUCACACUGUUCACAUAAUUUUGCUUUCUCUAUUUUGCCUUUACCUUUAUCAAUAAGCAUUUUCUUUAUAUCCUUAAAAUUUCUUUAUUAACGUAACCUAAUACAUAUGCACAAAAUGUUACCUAAUCAUUCGCCUGUUUAAGGGCAUUUGGUAAUUUCCAAUAUUUUUUCCUUCACGAUUUCGGGUAAUGUUUAAAUAAACCAAUUUAUGGAAAAGAGCUACCUAUGUUGGAUUACUUGCUUAGAAUGAAUUCCUGGAAAUAGAAUUACUGGGUCAAAGGGUACCAACAUAUUUAAUGUCCCCAAAGGCAUAUUGGCAAAUUGCCUUCCAUACAAAUUAUACCAAUUCCCCCUCUGUAACUAGUAUAUAAAAGUGCCUGUUUCACAGUAUCUCCCCUGCUCCAAGAUCUUGUAAAAUCUCUGCAAAUUUGAAAAAUGAAAAAAAUGAUAACUGUUGCCUGGAACAAUUUGUUAAAAGAUGCACUGAGCAAUACAUUUAUUUUUAAAAUUUUUCAUCUCACAAAGAAAUAUAAAAGCUUAUACACAGGAUGUUUUCUGACCAAUAAAUGCUAAAAAGCCAUAAUGUUUCAUCAUACAUAGUAGAUUAUUUUGUUCGAAAACCUAUUACAUUUUGCAUGCUGCUAUAGCAGUCUUUCUAGUCCAGAAAACACUUCACUAAAACAGCAACAAUAUCAGUUUACUGCAUAAGAUUGCCGGCAGCUCACACUAGAUUCUAAACACGAUUGAAUAGGCAUCUUUAAGAGUGGAAUAUCCAUGACUUAUCUUGCCAGGCUUGGUACUAUGCCAGUGGAGAAGGUGGAUGGUGCCAUUGUUAUUUGGGCAGCCAUGCCGAUCUCAAGGAGGAAAGCUGAAAUUGUUUGAAAACCUGGUUUAAGACAGUCUUUUUGAGAUUUAGCCCUAGAGAACACUCAACUAAACAACCAAGAGAGGC
rnacentral:lncRNA from 1 species